GUCUGGAUAGCUCACUUGGUUAGAGCCUGGCGCUGAUAACACCAUGGUUGCAGGUUUGAUACCUGUAUGGGACA